rnacentral:rRNA from 1 species
GAUGAACGCUUGCUUCUUUCCUCCUACAUGCACGUCGAGCGAACAGACGAGGAGCUUGCUCCUCUGCCGUUAGCGGCGGACGGGUGAGUAACACGUGGAUAACCUACCUAUAAGACUGGGAUAACUUCGGGAAACCGGAGCUAAUACCGGAUAAUAUAUUGAACCGCAUGGUUCAAUAGUGAAAGACGGUUUUGCUGUCACUUAUAGAUGGAUCCGCGCCGCAUUAGCUAGUUGGUAAGGUAACGGCUUACCAAGGCAACGAUGCGUAGCCGACCUGAGAGGGGGAUAGGCCACACGGGAACUGAGACACGGUCCAGACUCCUACGGGAGGCAGCAGUAGGGAAUCUUCCGCAAUGGGCGAAAGCUUGACGGAGCAACGCCGCGUGAGUGAUGAAGGUCUUCGGAUCGUAAAAAUCGGUGAUUAGGGAAGAACAAAUGUGUAAGUAACUAUGCACGUCUUGACGGUACCUAAUCAGAAAGCCAAGGCUAACUACGGG